UGUAUAGCUUUGCUUCGUUGUGCGCCCAAUCAUAAAGACCGUUAUAUUUUUAAUUGGGUGCAUCGAUUAAUUGGAAUGUUGGCUUGGUUUAUUGCAGCCAUUGCAGUUAUAUAUGGUUUGAAAUUACUGAACAUCAAUCAUGUUGCUGUAGUAAUUUUUAUACCCGUUGUGAUUGUUUUGUUUGUUGUACUCGAUCUCAUUCUUCUGAAAAAUAGACCAAAUUUAGAAAAGUCCAAGCCUCAAGUUACAUACUCGUCAACCCAGUUUGAUAUGGAAACAACUUCAAAAGAAAAUAAAACAG
rnacentral:lncRNA from 1 species